CUUAGAAGCAGCCAUCAUUUAAAGAAAGCGUAAUAGCUCACUGGUCGAGUCGGCCUGCGCGGAAGAUGUAACGGGGCUAAACCAUGCACCGAAGCUGCGGCAGCGACACUAUGUGUUGUUGGGUAGGGGAGCGUUCUGUAAGCCUGUGAAGGUGUACUGUGAGGUAUGCUGGAGGUAUCAGAAGUGCGAAUGCUGACAUAAGUAACGAUAAAGCGGGUGAAAAGCCCGCUCGCCGGAAGACCAAGGGUUCCUGUCCAACGUUAAUCGGGGCAGGGUGAGUCGACCCCUAAGGCGAGGCCGAAAGGCGUAGUCGAUGGGAAACAGGUUAAUAUUCCUGUACUUGGUGUUACUGCGAAGGGGGGACGGAGAAGGCUAUGUUGGCCGGGCGACGGUUGUCCCGGUUUAAGCGUGUAGGCUGGUUUUCCAGGCAAAUCCGGAAAAUCAAGGCUGAGGCGUGAUGACGAGGCACUACGGUGCUGAAGCAACAAAUGCCCUGCUUCCAGGAAAAGCCUCUAAGCAUCAGGUAACAUCAAAUCGUACCCCAAACCGACACAGGUGGUCAGGUAGAGAAUACCAAGGCGCUUGAGAGAACUCGGGUGAAGGAACUAGGCAAAAUGGUGCCGUAACUUCGGGAGAAGGCACGCUGAUAUGUAGGUGAAGCGACUUGCUCGUGGAGCUGAAAUCAGUCGAAGAUACCAGCUGGCUGCAACUGUUUAUUAAAAACACAGCACUGUGCAAACACGAAAGUGGACGUAUACGGUGUGACGCCUGCCCGGUGCCGGAAGGUUAAUUGAUGGGGUUAGCGGUAACGCGAAGCUCUUGAUCGAAGCCCCGGUAAACGGCGGCCGUAACUAUAACGGUCCUAAGGUAGCGAAAUUCCUUGUCGGGUAAGUUCCGACCUGCACGAAUGGCGUAAUGAUGGCCAGGCUGUCUCCACCCGAGACUCAGUGAAAUUGAACUCGCUGUGAAGAUGCAGUGUACCCGCGGCAAGACGGAAAGACCCCGUGAACCUUUACUAUAGCUUGACACUGAACAUUGAGCCUUGAUGUGUAGGAUAGGUGGGAGGCUUUGAAGUGUGGACGCCAGUCUGCAUGGAGCCGACCUUGAAAUACCACCCUUUAAUGUUUGAUGUUCUAACGUUGGCCCGUUAUCCGGGUUGCGGACAGUGUCUGGUGGGUAGUUUGACUGGGGCGGUCUCCUCCUAAAGAGUAACGGAGGAGCACGAAGGUUGGCUAAUCCUGGUCGGACAUCAGGAGGUUAGUGCAAUGGCAUAAGCCAGCUUGACUGCGAGCGUGACGGCGCGAGCAGGUGCGAAAGCAGGUCAUAGUGAUCCGGUGGUUCUGAAUGGAAGGGCCAUCGCUCAACGGAUAAAAGGUACUCCGGGGAUAACAGGCUGAUACCGCCCAAGAGUUCAUAUCGACGGCGGUGUUUGGCACCUCGAUGUCGGCUCAUCACAUCCUGGGGCUGAAGUAGGUCCCAAGGGUAUGGCUGUUCGCCAUUUAAAGUGGUACGCGAGCUGGGUUUAGAACGUCGUGAGACAGUUCGGUCCCUAUCUGCCGUGGGCGCUGGAGAACUGAGGGGGGCUGCUCCUAGUACGAGAGGACCGGAGUGGACGCAUCACUGGUGUUCGGGUUGUCAUGCCAAUGGCACUGCCCGGUAGCUAAAUGCGGAAGAGAUAAGUGCUGAAAGCAUCUAAGCACGAAACUUGCCCCG
rnacentral:rRNA from 1 species